GAUGAACGCUGGCGGCGUGCCUAAUACAUGCAAGUCGAGCGAACGGACGAGAAGCUUGCUUCUCUGAUGUUAGCGGCGGACGGGUGAGUAACACGUGGAUAACCUACCUAUAAGACUGGGAUAACUUCGGGAAACCGGAGCUAAUACCGGAUAAUAUUUUGAACCGCAUGGUUCAAAAGUGAAAGACGGUCUUGCUGUCACUUAUAGAUGGAUCCGCGCUGCAUUAGCUAGUUGGUAAGGUAACGGCUUACCAAGGCAACGAUGCAUAGCCGACCUGAGAGGGUGAUAGGCCACACUGGAACUGAGACACGGUCCAGACUCCUACGGGAGGCAGCAGUAGGGAAUCUUCCGCACUGGGCGAAAGCCUGACGGAGCAACGCCGCGUGAGUGAUGAAGGUCUUCGGAUCGUAAAACUCUGUUAUUAGGGAAGAACAUAUGUGUAAGUAACUGUGCACAUCUUGACGGUACCUAAUCAGAAAGCCACGGCUGACUACGUG
rnacentral:rRNA from 1 species